GACGAACGCUGGCGGCGUGCCUAAUACAUGCAAGUCGAACGCUUUUUCUUCCACCGGAGCUUGCUCCAUCGAAAGAAAAAGAGUGGCGAACGGGUGAGUAACACGUGGGUAACCUGCCCAUCAGAAGGGGGUAACACUUGGAAACAGGUGCUAAUACCAUAUAACACUAUUUUCCGCAUGGAAGAAAGUUGAAAGGCGCUUUUGCGUCACUGAUGGAUGGACCCGCGGUACAUUAGCUAGUUGGUGAGGUAACGGCUCACCAAGGCAACGAUGAAUAGCCGACCUGAGAGGGUUAUCGGCCACAAUGGGACUGAGACACGGCCCAGACUCCUACGGGAGGAAGCAGUAGGGAAUCUUCGGCAAUGGACGAAAGUCUGACCGAGCAACGCCGCGUGAGUGAAGAAGGUUUUCGGAUCGUAAAACUCUGUUGUUAGAGAAGAACAAGGAUGAGAGUAAAAUGUUCAUCCCUUGACGGUAUCUAACCAGAAAGCCACGGCUAACUACGUGCCAGCCGCCGCGGUAA
rnacentral:rRNA from 1 species